rnacentral:ribozyme from 12 species
UGUUGUUUUCUUGUUUCUUUGUUCUUCUUUUUUUUUUAAUUUUUUUA